rnacentral:lncRNA from 1 species
UGAAGCCCUUGUGGUGUAAUCACCAUGGCGGAGAUUCUGAGCACCCGCAUUGCGCUCUUUUUGGUAGCUUUUGUUUUGCUUCUUUCAGUGAUGCACAACGACGGCCAGUCAUGCGCCAAUGCAGCCACCACUCGGCGCCCUGGUCGACCUCCUGGCUGUGCUGGUCCUAGUUGUUUUGCAGGUCUUGUUCAGCACAUAAGAGGUCCACCUGGUCGAGGACAGCAACCUGCUCGAGGACAGCAACCUGGACAAAGGCAACAAGCUGGUCAAAGACCUGUUCCAGCACCUCGUCCUGGACCUGUUCCCGGAUCACCCACUGGAUCAUCUCCUGGAUCAUUAUCAUCAUCAUCAUCUACAGAAUCAUUAUCUGGUGCACAACCUCGUGAUGUGCUGGCAAACGCGUGGAGACGUCCGGUGACGGGGAAUUAUGGCCACGGCAUCGGCUGACGGGACUCGUUCUGCUGGGUAAUUGUCCAACGACGACGAUUGAACCAAUCAAUAGUUCAAUAAAGGUUUCUCAGAAAAAUA